rnacentral:misc_RNA from 1 species
UCCGGUUUGUCACCGGCAGUCUCCCUAGAGCGCCCUUGCGUAGCAACUAGGGACAAGGGUUGCGCUCGUUGCGGGACUUAACCCAACAUCUCACGACACGAGCUGACGACAGCCAUGCAGCACCUGCGUUACGGCUCCCUUUCGGGCACACCCCCAUCUCUGAGGGCUUCCGUACAUGUCAAGGGUAGGUAAGGUUAUUCGCGUUGCAUCGAAUUAAACCACACGCUCCGCUGCUUGUGCGGGCCCCCGCCUAUUCCUUUGAGUUUUAAUCUUGCGACCGUACUCCCCAGGCGGCGAACUUAAUGCGUUAGCUGCGGCGCCGAGGGGGUCGAUACCCCCGACACCUAGUCCGCAUCGUUUACGGCGUGGACUAC